rnacentral:rRNA from 1 species
CCCUCAGGAGGGGGAUACCCCGGGAAACUGGGGAUAAUACCCCAUAGAUCAGGAACGCUGGAAUGCCCCCUGGAUUCAAAGGUCCGCCGCCUGAGGAUGGGUCUGCGGCCGAUUAGGUUGUUGUUGGGGUAACGGCCCAACAAGCCAUUGAUCGGUACGGGUUGUGAGAGCAAGAGCCCGGAGAUGGAUUCUGAGACACGAAUCCAGUCCCUACGGGGCGCAGCAGGCGCGAAAACUUUACAAUGCGAGAAAUCGUGAUAAGGGAACCCCGAGUGCCCGUAAAUUCGGGCUGUCCGCCAGUG